rnacentral:rRNA from 1 species
AGCGAACGCUGGCGGCAGGCCUAACACAUGCAAGUCGAACGAACUCUUCGGAGUUAGUGGCGGACGGGUGAGUAACACGUGGGAACGUGCCUUUUGGUUCGGAAUAACUCAGGGAAACUUGUGCUAAUACCGAAUGUGCCCUUCGGGGGAAAGAUUUAUCGCCAUUAGAGCGGCCCGCGUCUGAUUAGCUAGUUGGUGAGGUAACGGCGCACCAAGGCGACGAUCAGUAGCUGGUCUGAGAGGAUGACCAGCCACACUGGGACUGAGACACGGCCCAGACUCCUACGGGAGGCAGCAGUGGGGAAUCUUGCGCAAUGGGCGAAAGCCUGACGCAGCCAGGCCGCGUGAAUGAUGAAGGUCUUAGGAUUGUAAAAUUCUUUCACCGGGGACGAUAAUGACGGUACCCGGAGAAGAAGCCCCGGCUAACUUCGUG